rnacentral:rRNA from 1 species
UGCAGAGGGUGCGAGCGUUAAUCGGAAUUACUGGGCGUAAAGCGUGCGUAGGCGGUUCGUUAAGUCUGAUGUGAAAGCCCUGGGCUCAACUUGGGAAUGGCAUUGGAAACUGGCGAGCUAGAGUGCGGUAGAGGGCAGUGGAAUUCCCGGUGUAGCAGUGAAAUGCGUAGAGAUCGGGAGGAACAUCUGUGGCGAAGGCGACUGCCUGGACCAGCACUGACGCUGAGGCACGAAAGCGUGGGGAGCAAACAGG